AAAUUCUCAAAUUUUCACAAUAUUUCACAAUAUUAAAAUAAUAAAUCAUAAUUAUUUAUGUUUUUUCCUGUGAGAUAGAGCUUGUUGUAAGAAUUCUAGAGUAGUCACUUGCAAGGUAAGAAUAAUUGGACUGAACUUAUUAGGCUUAUUGAGAUGAAGAUUGAGAAGAACAAAGCAAUGCUUGUAUUUUUAUAUUUUAUGUGCAGAUUUUACAUAUUCCUGUUUGCAUAGUCUUCUCUGGUUUGGUCACAUAUGAGCUGUCAUCAACAUUGGCUGUAAAAUUAAUGAUUUCAUGUUGUAUUCAAUUGGGAAACUUUGUACUUAUGAUGAUAUUAUGUUUUCUAGUAUCAUUAUCAUUGAUUAUGUGAUUGUCAAGUUCCAUAUUUAAGCAUCUUUGUUCUUAACUAUGCCUUGAUUUUAUUGUUAAACAUGCAGUUUUGGCUUGCAUAUAUUGAUUAUUAAUUUUAUUUUUGGGAUGGGUUUUAUGUUUUUAAUUUAUGUUUGAUUAUUUUCAUCCUUCUUUUACAUUGAUGUUUGAUUAUUUUUGGGCUAUGCUUUACAGUUGAGUAAUUUAGAUAGAGUUGCCAAAGAGAAACUCUAGUACAUAUUAAAAUUAUUUAUAGCUAUGUGUUAAUUCUCUAGUUAAUGGUAAAUUGGGCCAAAACUUAAUAGGAGGACUUAGAGCUCGUUUGAGAUUGCGGUGUAAUGACUAAAACCCUGGUUUCGGACGAAAAGCAAUUUUGCUAGCUGUUUGGUUAAUGAAUAAAACUUUGUUUCUGCCCUUUCAAAACUAAGUUACACAAAAGCAUCAAAAGUGUUGAUUUUUUCUGAACCUGUGUUUUGCAAGUGGCUGGACAACAAACUUGAUAUUUCGUGUUCACAAAAAUACCCUUGAGAACUUAAAGAUAUUACAAUCGUGCCACUAUAAAUACUCAUCUUUCUCACCUUAGAAUAACGAAGGGAGAGGAAAAAAUAAAAAGAGAAAGGAGAGAAAAUAAGAACGCAAUUAUCAAUUCCAUAGUACCCAGUCAUUGAUCACAAUCCUCCAUUCACCAAAGUGCAAAUUUUCUUUACCUUGCUUCCACUACUUUCCCUUUGCUUUUACUACUUCAAUUAGUUCCACCCACAUCAAGCCCUAUUGCAAUUUAAGGACUGAUUUGUGGGUUUUAUUAAAUAUUAAGGACUUAAUUGUAAUUUAACUUAUAAGUUUCCCUCUUUGCACCUACGGGUCAUUCACUUAAAACUAAAUCGAAUGAAAAACGAAGGGGCAAUUUCACAUUCUAGCUGCUGAUUUGAAGGAAGAAUCCUGUCUAUCCUAAUAACAAAAACUGCCUUUUGGCAAGGAAACCUCACUGCGCAGCUCUAUCUUGCACACAGGUAUGAUCCCUCGUUUUCUCUCCAUUCUUCUUACUUGAUUUCCCUUUCUUCGAUCUUCCUUUACAAUUCUAAUUGGAAAAAUUAGAAUUAUAAUGUAUUGAUUAAGUUCAAAUUACAAUUCUACUCGAAAAAUUAGAGCUUCAUUUGCAGCAAAUUCAUAUCCAAAACAAACUUAGGGUUUGGUAUUAGUAGAAUUUGAGGCAAUGGAACCAAAUUAUUACUUCACUAUUAUAGUGAAGAAACAUAGGGGUUGGUGGGUCUGAGAAUUACUGCUGAAUUUUAGAGAACGAAAACAAAUUAAUGCCCAAAUACAACGCAAAGCAACUAUUGGACCCUUUUAGGUAAAGCCCUUUCCUAAAGAUUUAUUUUUUGGCUGGUUAGAUGCUUAAACAUGCGCCCACUCGCUUAUACCUGAGUUUAGCAACAUAGCCAAAACAAAGAUUGAAGAAAAAGAGAAAAUAAAGCUAAAUACUUAAGGAUUAGUCAUAUUUAGGUGCAUUUACGUGUGUAUGUGUGCUGUGAUUUUGUGGUAUUAAUAAAUUGUUACAAUUCUAGUUAAAUUUAUUUGCAGGAAAAAAAAAUGUUGGAGUUUCGUUCAGGCAAAAUGUUUUUUGAGGGUAAAAAGGUUGUCCCUGAUGCACGAAAGGGACUUAUUCGCAUAACAAGGGGCGAAGAGGGAUUAGUCCAUUUUCAGUGGCUUGAUCGUAGUCGGAAUGUUGUUGAAGAUGUAUCCUAGUUAUUAUAUAUAUUUUUGUGUUCCUGUCAAGUGUCAAUAGAUUGUUCUGUAGUUAAAUGCAUUGGCUGAAAACAUAAUUGCAUUAUUUUUAGUUGUCUAAAGAAUCUUUGGGGGUUAAAUUGUAUUGGCUCUUUGUUUAAUCUCUAUACAAAUUGUAUCCUAGUUAUUUUAUAUAUUUUCCAUACAAUUAUGUUUAAUCUCUUUGUUUUCAUUGCUAAUAAUAAGCAUAAUAGAAAAAAAAGGAAAACCUCUCAUUAAUUGCUAUAAUUUUGACAUUGACUUGUGGUACUUCAUUGCUGGGAAAGGGGGUUAACGGUUAACCCUGUCAGCCUCUUUUUUUUUUUUUCUCUCUAAAGGUUGGGAAAGAGUGGAGGGGGACAAACAAAGUUUAUUUUUAUUUUAUUUCAUCAACAUUUAUUACUCUUUAGAUAAAUUAUAUAGUGUUAAAUAAUAAAAUAAACAAGAAUAAUUAUAAAUUAUAUUGUUAAAUAAUAAAAUAGACAAAUAAUUAUAAAUUAACAUUGUUUUUAUAACUUUGUACCAAGUUCACAUAAUUUUUACUCCUUUAAAUAUUUGUAAAUAUCAACUUUGUUUGUUUAACCUUGUAACAAAAACUCAUAAUUGUUACUUGUUUAAUUGUUUUUUCCUUUUUUUUUGUCCCUUUAGUUGUUACACUCUUAAAAAUUACCCUUAUAUCAGUUAAUCUCCUAUUUUUUAAUCUCGAAACAAAUGUAACAUAACUGAGCAACUAGCUUGUGGAGCUACCAUAGUGUUAGUUUUGCUAACCAAAGAAAGAGCGCAUUUGGAUCAUGGUAGAUAAGGGUGACUUUUCAACUUUUAUGUUUCUCAAUUGAUGCUGGAGCAUUUGAAGUCCUAUUUAGUUUUGGAUUUUAUUCGGUUUUCAAUUUUACUUAUUUUUCUAUUCAUUUAUGAAUUUUAUUUAGUUUUCUUUUCCUUUAUGUAGGAAUCUUGUCCAUAAAGUUUUUAUUAAUUAAGAUAAGUUUUCAGUUUUUGAAUAUAUAAAUAAGAUUGUUGGUAGACAUAUC
rnacentral:misc_RNA from 1 species